rnacentral:rRNA from 1 species
GAUGAACGCUGGCGGCGUGCCUAAUACAUGCAAGUCGAGCGAACAGAUAAGGAGCUUGCUCCUUUGAAGUUAGCAGCGGACGGGUGAGUAACACGUGGGUAACCUACCUAUAAGACUGGGAUAACUUCGGGAAACCGGAGCUAAUACCGGAUAACAUUUAGAACCGCAUGGUUCUAAAGUGAAAGAUGGUUUUGCUAUUACUUAUAGAUGGACCCGCGCCGUAUUAGCUAGUUGGUAAGGUAACGGCUUACCAAGGCGACGAUACGUAGCCGACCUGAGAGGGUGAUCGGCCACACUGGAACUGAGACACGGUCCAGACUCCUACGGGAGGCAGCAGUAGGGAAUCUUCCGCAAUGGGCGAAAGCCUGACGGAGCAACGCCGCGUGAGUGAUGAAGGGUUUCGGCUCGUAAAACUCUGUUAUUAGGGAAGAACAAAUGUGUAAGUAACUGUGCAUAUCUUGACGGUACCUAAUCAGAAAGCCACGGCUAACUACGUGCCAGCCGCCGCAGUAA